GGUUGAUGACACAGAGCGCACGAGGGCGGCAGUGGUCACGCGCCUGGCCCAGUGCACGGUGAAGCUCGGCCACGUCCAGCGCCCAGGCACGCUCCUCGUCCAGAUGCCUGGAGCAAAGGGGAAGGGAGGAGGCUCAUGGACCCUCCCUGCUCAGAGUUCCCCCCGCUCUACGUCCCUCUGUGUUAAAGGACACAGGCAGGGUCAGCAAAGGUGAAGGCGGGAACACAGGAGGCCGAGAGCCACAGAUACUGCCCAAGAGGAGCCUCCUGAGCGGCCAUCUGAGAGGAAGCCUCUCCCUGCCAAGGACGCCCAACAGGCCCUACCUGGCGAUGAGCAGCUCCACCAGGUGCAGGUGGCCGCAGGUGGCCGCAGCAUGCAGAGGCGUCCAGCACUCACUGUCACAGGCAUUGAUGUUGGCCCCAGCCUCCAGGAGCUGCUGCACCAUCUCUCGGAAAUCAUCAAUGCAGCACUGCAAACCGUGCCACGCCUCCCGGGAGGGCUCCUGUCCACAUGGAAAGAUGCAGGCCAGACACUGCCGGCUCCUCUUUACUCUCUGCUCCGGAGGGAGGCAGGAAGGAGUCUCAAGGGCCACCACAGUGCCUCUUCCCCCAAGACUCCAGAGCACCAGAAGUGGAACCCACACAGCUGGGGCUGCAAGCGUGGGGCACAGGUCAUUUCGGGCAGCGGCCUCCAGAAGGACAACACUGGGAGGGAAGAGGACCUGCUUCAGGAGCCCUUGGCUGGCUGCCUCCUUCCG
rnacentral:lncRNA from 1 species